GCCCCCGUAGCUCAGGGGAUAGAGCACAGGAUUCCUAAUCCUGGUGUCGUGGGUUCGAUUCCCGCCGGGGGCG
rnacentral:tRNA from 1 species